GAUGAACGCUGGCGGCGUGCCUAAUACAUGCAAGUCGAGCGAACAGACGAGGAGCUUGCUCCUCUGACGUUAGCGGCGGACGGGUGAGUAACACGUGGAUAACCUACCUAUAAGACUGGGAUAACUUCGGGAAACCGGAUCUAAUACCGGAUAAUAUAUUGAACCGCAUGGUUCAAUAGUGAAAGACGGUUUUGCUGUCACUUAUAGAUGGAUCCGCGCCGCAUUAGCUAGUUGGUAAGGUAACGGCUUACCAAGGCAACGAUGCGUAGCCGACCUGAGAGGGUGAUCGGCCACACUGGAACUGAGACACGGUCCAGACUCCUACGGGAGGCAGCAGUAGGGAAUCUUCCGCAAUGGGCGAAAGCCUGACGGAGCAACGCCGCGUGAGUGAUGAAGGUCUUCGGAUCGUAAAACUCUGUUAUUAGGGAAGAACAACUGUGUAAGUAACUAUGCACGUCUUGACGGUACCUAAUCAGAAAGCCACGGCUAACUACGUG
rnacentral:rRNA from 1 species